UACGAUGGGGGCUAGCGUUGUUCGGAAUUACUGGGCGUAAAGCGCACGUAGGCGGAUUAGUAAGUCAGGGGUGAAAUCACGGGGCUCAACCACGGAACUGCCUUUGAUACUGCUGGCCUCGAGUCCGGGAGAGGUGAGUGGAAUUCCGAGUGUAGAGGUGAAAUUCGUAGGUAUGAGGAAGAACACCAGUGGCGAAGGCGGCUCACUGGUCCGAUCCUGCCGCUGAGGUGCGGAAGCGUCGGGAGCAAACAGG
rnacentral:rRNA from 1 species